rnacentral:rRNA from 1 species
GACGAACGCUGGCGGCGUGCCUAAUACAUGCAAGUAGAACGCUGAAGGAGGAGCUUGCUUCUCUGGAUGAGUUGCGAACGGGUGAGUAACGCGUAGGUAACCUGCCUGGUAGCGGGGGAUAACUAUUGGAAACGAUAGCUAAUACCGCAUAAUAGCAGUUGUUGCAUGACAACUGUUUGAAAGGUGCAAUUGCACCACUACCAGAUGGACCUGCGUUGUAUUAGCUAGUUGGUGGGGUAACGGCUCACCAAGGCGACGAUACAUAGCCGACCUGAGAGGGGGAGCGGCCACACUGGGACUGAGACACGGCCCAGACUCCUACGGGAGGCAGCAGUAGGGAAUCUUCGGCAAUGGACGGAAGUCUGACCGAGCAACGCCGCGUGAGUGAAGAAGGUUUUCGGAUCGUAAAGCUCUGUUGUAAGAGAAGAACGAGUGUGAGAGUGGAAAGUUCACACUGUGACGGUAUCUUACCAGAAAGGGACGGCUAACUACGUG